GUGAAUCAUCGAAUCUUUGAACGCACCUUGCGCCCGCCAGUACUCUGGCGGGCAUGCCUGUUCGAGCGUCAUUUCAACCCUCAAGCCCUGCUUGGUGUUGGGGCCCUACGGCUGCCGUAGGCCCUGAAAGGAAGUGGCGGGCUCGCUACAACUCCGAGCGUAGUAGAAUCCUAUCUCGCUAGGGAGGUGCGGCGUGCUCCUGCCGUUAAAGACCCCAUCUUUAACCAAGGUUGACCUCGGAUCAGGUAGGAAUACCCGCUGAACUUAAGCAUAUCAAUAAGCGGAGGA
rnacentral:misc_RNA from 1 species